rnacentral:misc_RNA from 4 species
ACACCCUCAAGCUCUGCUUGGUGUUGGGCGUCUGUCCCGCCUCGGCGCGCGGACUCGCCCCAAAUUCAUUGGCAGCGGUCUUUGCCUCCUCUCGCGCAGCACAUUGCGCUUCUCGAGGUGCUUGCGAGGCCCGCGUCCACGAAGCAUUACCAGU